rnacentral:rRNA from 1 species
UACGUAGGGGGCAAGCGUUGUCCGGAUUUAUUGGGCGUAAAGAGCGUGUAGGCGGCCUGAAAGGUCAGCUGUGAAAACUCGAGGCUCAACCUCGAGACGUCGGUUGAAACCAUCUGGCUAGAGUCCGGAAGAGGAGUGUGGAAUUCCCGGUGUAGCGGUGAAAUGCGCAGAUAUCGGGAAGAACACCCGUGGCGAAGGCGGCACUCUGGGACGGUACUGACGCUGGGACGCGAAAGCGUGGGGAGCGAACAGG